AUCUCCUCCAAAACUUUGAGAAGGAGGUUCUUUUAUUUGCCGUGAUUUUUGAUUAAAUAACAGCCACAAAAAGGCUAAAAACGCUCUCAAAGCAUGUCAGUGUGUACAAACUCUCCCUGUUAGCUAGCUAGCAAGGCUGGUGGCGGAAGCCAAAUUAGCUUCAUCCAAUCAGAUUUUGUUAUUGAGAUUUGAAGACCCGCCCCCUUACCUGCGGGCCCUGGGACUCGGCUACGAUGAACUCUAUUUGAUGCAAAAGUUGUCAGUCAAAUGACGCGAGUUGUUUGCGCAUUCUGAUUGGCCACUUUUAGAGUUCAUUAUUCGGAAAUUGAUUACCACCAAAAAAAAAAAAAAAAAAACACGAAAUCGUACCCGAGAAGCGUUUCAAAAUGAAGGCUUUUGUCUCGGUUCCAUUCAAGCUGAAACCCACAAGUUUGUGUUGACGUCCUCUACUGCAGCGAGAUGAAACCUAGAUGUCCAAACUACAUCAAAGAUGGUCCAGAUGAGUCCAGAUGGAGAAUUUCUUUGAACAAGCAGGUUGUUGACCACAGGGACUGAUUUUGACACUAAAAUCUUCACUUCAUCAUAAACCUAGCACAAUGAAUAGACCAGAUGUUGGACUCUGAGGCCAGAUGAAGGAAGUCAGAGGGUCUGUGUCUCUGCGGCGGGUCAAGGAUGAACAGGAUGUUGAUAAAUUAACAAACCAGGAAACCUUAACUCCUUAAAAAAUCCCUUUUGCUCUUCUCUCAGCUACCCUCAUUUCUCCCUCUGCUUCCUUUAUCCAUUACUUCUUGGCCUAGACCUAGUUUUCCCCUCAUCUUGCCUCUACCCAACCCCGUCACCUAGUUUCUCUCACCUUUCUCUCUCUGCCUGUCUGACUGUACCUCUCCCACGGCGGUGAAGCCAUGAGGCGUGCAGAUGUGCCAGUUAAUUAGGUUUCCUUAUCUGCAGGCAGCUCACCUACAGUCCAGCCGAGGCAGGUCUGGGAGCCCGCGAAGCAGACUUAAUCACAGACACAAACAGGAGCAAACAACAACCACGGCAGGCCUGUUAUUUUUCCUCUUUCUUAUCAGGCCAUUUAAUGAGUCCUGCAGCAGAAUGUGAAGGCGGCUUCAUGUCAUCACAGUGCAGACGGAGAGAGACAGAGGGGGAGAAAAAAUGGAAAGAGAGAGUGUGAGAGUGAGGAAAAUGAACAGAAUGUCUUGACACAGACCUCUAACGGCCCUUUCGUUGUGCCCAAUAAAAGCAGUGAUAUAUGAUCAUGUGUCUUCCAUAUGUGAUGGAGCCAAAGCGCAGACUCACACGGCGUCUCGGGGCUCCAUCAAUCUGACAUUUCUUUCUCUCGGUACAAACCACAGGGGGAAAACUCCAAACUUACAAAUGAAAUUGUUGCAUUUUCUGGUUUUGGGUUGUUUACAGUGAACAGGUGAAUCUGGGGCUUGAUAACAAGACGCUCACAGCUCACGGCCCAGUAUAUGUCUAGACGUCUGGGUUCAA